UACGUAGGUGGCAAGCGUUGUCCGGAAUCACUGGGCGUAAAGGGCGCGUAGGCGGCUCGGUAAGUAGGGGUGAAAUCCUGCGGCUUAACCGCAGGGCUGCCUUCUAAACUGUCGAGCUCGAGCACGGUAGAGGCAGAUGGAAUUCCCGGUGUAGCGGUGGAAUGCGUAGAGAUCGGGAAGAACAUCAGUGGCGAAGGCGGUCUGCUGGGCCGUUGCUGACGCUGAGGCGCGACAGCGUGGGGAGCAAACAGG
rnacentral:rRNA from 1 species